UAUUGACACAGAUUCAUCAUGUAAUUUUCCUGAAAAUGUAUAUAUAUAUAUAUAUAUAUAUAUAUAUAUAUAUAUAAAAAAUUGCACUGUGCUGUAAAUCUUUGAAUGCAAAACAAAUGAAGACAUUUUAACAAAUUCUUAGGCGAGAUAGUCUAUAGUGACAACAAAAAGACUUAUAUGGAGGACAUCAAAGAUCAUACACACCCACCCUACUCCGUCUUCUGAAUGCUAUUCAAUACUUUAAUUCUUUGUUAUUGUUUAUUUUGGCUGCUCAUGUUUUUGAAUCUUUUUUUUUUUUUAUCAUCCAAACUUCUUUUAUAUCAGAAAUGCUUUAUAUGAAGUCUCAUGGAUUUAUUACAAUCUUCUGAAAAAUUACAAUGUUUUUUAAAACUUAAAACAGCUUACUUAUAUAAAACAUUACUACUGCAACAAACUAUUUGAAAAAAAAAAAUCAAAAUUCUGUAAGAGUAUUAUUAAUAUUUAUUCUAUUUCCCUUAAAUCUCUGAAAUAUUAAAAACAGGAUAAAAUUAGUUGUAUAAUGCAUGCAUUAUUAGUUUCUAUUUCCAAAUAUAUUUUAAAGAACAUUUUCUCAAAAUGGCUUACUGUCUCAAGACAAACGGAUUACGUCUGAGUUGUCACAACAUUUAGACUUAAUUUGAGUUACUAAUAUUUUUUUAAAUCCAUGGUUCAGAGAUUUCACUAAUUUAAUUAAUUUAAUAUUAACUCAGUUUUGUUGUUUGUUUUUUUUGGUUUUGGUUUUUUUUAAUGAGGUAAAAAUAUGUGAGUUGAAAAGGAUUUUUUUUUCUUCCUUCUUACAUUGAACAUGGCAGAUCAUUUGACUCAAAUACAACAACGAAAAAUAUCUUGGCUGACCAAUUAGCAAGCUUUAAAGUGUGUUAACAGAUUCACUCACUUAUUGUUUGAUUUCCCUGCUUAUUAGUUGACACAGGUUACUGUUUUGUAAUAACUGAUUGGAAUUUCUAAAUCUAUGGAAAGCUUCCCUCUUUUUGAUUUGAUAGUUUCUUGUUUAUAAAUACUGCUGCUGUUGUUUGAAACAACAUUAAACAAUGUUUCAAUAACUUAUACAGAGUUGGACAGUAUCAAAAUAGCCAUUUAUAAGACAUUAAACAGACCCUGGUUACAUAUAUAUAUUAUAUAUAUAUUCAUAUUGACAAAACGUAAAUCAAAACACCGACAACAUAACUCUUGUACCAUAUUAUUAUAAAUAUAUCAUUAGCCUUCUUAAUAACGUACAAAAUACAUAUAUUGUAGUUAAAUCAUUUUCAUUUAAAAUUAUAUAGUCAUUAUGUUACAGGGUUAUGAAGAAAUUAAGACUAUGAAUCGUUAACAAAAUGAUAAAUGUUACCAUCUUUAGGCUUUGAUAAAAAUAAGCAAACACAGUUAUUAAGAUGUGCUUGCACUGGAAUGCAGCAUUUUUGUAAAAUAUGUUGCCUAAAAUAUUAAUCUAUUGCUUAACUAUUACCACUUAAUGUCUUAGCAAUCUAUUGCAAUGAAUAAAAGUCAAACUUUAGAAAAUUCUAUGGCAGUAAAUAUUUUUAAGAUUUCAAAAUGAGUGGUAAUGACUUUAGCAUGUGAAAAUAUUAUCUCUCCAUGUGUAUAAGCUUUUAUUAGAAGGAAUCAAUGUCUACAAAAUACUAAGCAACCAUUAUUUCAGAAAGAAUAAAACAUUUCUCAAGAUUGUCUAUAACUUAAAAAUCUAAAUUUAGGCAAGAUGGCUAUAAUGUAACUAUGUCUGCUGAAAACAAACUUUAUCAGUAAAACAGAGAAGCUGAAAUAGGAGAAUUGUAAUUUAUCGAACUUCCCUUUCACAAAAAUAACUUAUGCUGUUCAAGGAAAAUAAAUAAUUUAUGAAUUUCUUUUGCUUUAUUUAAAAAUGUCCAAUAUUCAAGACAUGUGUGACUCUCUGAACCAACGUUUUGUUUGUGUAUAUGAGACUAACCAAGAGUGCUUCAAGAAAAUCUAUUUUUAUUCAACCUAGACUAAUAUCUGUUUAUCUCAGACAUUAAGUGCCAUAUCACCAUUUCUAUGUCUAUUGUAAUGUAAUAUUUUUGCAUCAUUGGCAAACUCAUGAAUUCUUCACAUUUCUCCUAAUCUUUUUUGCAUGAUGUGUGUUAUUUGAUAAUUUUUAAUCAAUUUCUUUAAAAAUGUAACAUCUAACACUACAGUCAAAAUUAAAAUAAUAAUAUAUAAUUAAACACUAAGGGCCAUGACUUUAUUUAAGGGCUCAUUAUCUGUUUUCAAAGGUUUACACAGGGUUUUCACUCCUAGUACCAAUAUUUAUCAAACACUGCGAGUAGACUUUCCUGAACGGAAUGUUUUAGAUAUAUGUCAAGCUUUCUAGAGAUGAUUUUUAAUAAUAUCGAAGGUGUAAUAACUAAAAUUUUUAACAAAAGUAGCAUAAUAGUUUCCACUGGCAUGUAUUUCAAAAAUGUUUCUUUUCUACAAUAUCCUUAUAGCUUUAAAUUCUUUAAUGAUCAAAAUUUCAGAUACCUCUACACUAUUCAAAUGACAUAUUCCACGCUGGUGUAUAUGAAUUAGGCUCUCUCAUCAUAAAUAGAAUGUUUAUAUAUUUACAAACUAGAAUGUCAAAGGAAUAUACAAUUAUAUUAUGAACUUCAUUAGCUUACAGUUGUUUCUGCUGUGCACUCAUAGUUGAAUGCUUGAGUUUCACCCUAUAACUUCAUUGAAGCUUCAAAAGUAUGAAGCACAGUUUUAUUUGGGAAAACAUUAUAUAUAUUUGUAUAUAUAAAGGAGAGAAAAUUAGUCAGCAAAUAAAAUAUUUGAAGUGGUCUUCAAGAUAUCUGCUACAGAAUUGUUAAUUCACACACACACACACACACACACACACACACACACACACACACACACACACACACACACACACACACAAAUACUGACAUAUGAUGGUUGAUCAGAAAAGCAUUUUUAUUUUUACUUUGCUAAUAGUGAUUAAACAUAUAUCCUGAUUCAAAAAAUCUAACAUUUAAUAAUACUAAUCUAUUUUAACUGGAAUUAUUUUCUAAAAUCUAUUAAAUCUAACUGACCAACACCAAACAUAAUUUGUAAAUUAUUUUGAUAAUCAUAAUUUUGAAUAUGGUGUGUAUAUAUUACAAAUACUUUAAGAUACUUCUUCAUAGAAUUUUUGGCAUUGGUUUCUUUUCAUUAGAUACAACAUGUCAUGUUUUACAGAAAACUCAACAGGUUGUGAUACUUUCAUCUUUCUUAGAGUUGUUACUGGGUAAACACUAAAAUAAAAAUGAUUUUCAGAAAUUAUAGAUAGUAGCAAUUAAUUAUUGGUCUAAAACCAGACACUCUAAAUAUACAAAAGACUACAUACAGCACAGUAUAUCAUUGCUACUACCACUAUACAGUGGUAUAAAUGGUUGCUUUACCAUCUUUUCAGAAGAUCAUAUCUGGUUUAUGCUGACAAAAUGGUUGUUGUUAGGUAGAAAAUAUUAAUGAAAUAACUUUAAAAUUUUAGAUUUAACCAACAAAAUUCAUUAUUCUAAUGUAUCAACAUGAUUCGUUGUUCAAUGAAUUAUCAUUGGCAAUUGAUAAACAUCAGCCCUACUUCAAUUCAUUCUACUUCCUAAUUAGCACACCGCCCUUCUUAAAACUACAGGAUGAUAUUAUUUACAUGAAAGAAACAUUGUGUGAAAUCCAUGUUUUGGAACUGACAGAAUUUUAGGUUAAAACUUUUCACUCAAACUUGAGGUUUUCACUCGAAUAAUUUAAUACCAUCUUUUCUUUCAGAAUGUGUGUGAGGAGCAGAAUUAUAAAGUAUUUUUAAUAUACCUACUGGUCAAAACUUUGUGUAAAUGCAUUAAGGUGGUCAGUGAGAGAGGGCAGUGGAUUGGCAGAACCAUUAGAACACUGGAAAGAAAUGUCUUGUGGCUCUUUAUAUUCUGAGUUCAAAUCUCACCAAGGUCAGAUUUGCUUUUUAUCCUUCUAGUGGGGAUCUGUAAAAUAAAGUGCCAGUGCCAAUGGUAUUGACUCUCCCCGCAAAAAUUGGCUGAGUACCUCCAUUAAAAACCAUUGUGGUGGCAACACAAUAAAUAAGUUUGUCUGUUUAACAGUGUGGAGCAAACAUUUGCACACUUACAAUAUUUUUUUAAGUUACUCAAUAUAUGAAUAUAUUCAACUAAAGUAUCACAACGUCAGUCUCUCUCUAUUUCCCUCUAUCUCUCCACCCUGCCCACCCACAACCCACCUGUCUCUGUAUUUCUUGGCCUUUCUCUGACUAAUGAUUCAAUUUACACAAUGACCAGUAAUAUGACCAACAGUCAUGUUAUAUAUAUAUAUAUAUAUAUAUAUAAAAGAAAAACUUUAUCAGUGGAAAGCAAAAAUGGACUUCUUCAGUGAAAAACUCAACUUUGAAUAAAUGGAUUCAACUUGUUAAGAAAGUGAGGAUAAAAAAAACAAAACUAAAGUGUUUUUAGUCUCCCACCUAAAUUAUUAUCCUUACUAUACCUAUUUACAUUUUUCACUAAAUAAAAAUCACCAUAUUUUGUAAAUGUCAUAACUCAUUUUAAUGUGUUUAUUUACUAAAGAUAAUGACAAAAGAAUGAUUUAAUAUUGAACUUUAUACUAAUAAAGAUACACUGAUGAGAAAUAAAUUCUGGGAUGAUGAUCUGUCUAUUUUAAGAAAAUAAAAUCUAUAUAUGAGUAAUAGCACUAUAUAUAUAUAUAUAUAUAUAUAUAUAAGUGUAUAUAUUUCGCUUAUAUAUAUGUAUUUAAAAGUAUAAAUAUAUUUAUAAAUACACACAUAUAUAUUAAAAAUUUAUAAAUACAUAUGUAUAUGCGUGUACAUGUAUUAUAUAUUGAUACAAAUGUAGACAGACAAAAUAAUAGUAAUAUUCUAUAGAAUAAAGAUCCAUAAACUUAUAUGUCUGAGGAGCAUCCAAGAACUAGAGAUGAAGAGAAAGAAAGAAAGAAGCGAUAGUGAAGACAAAGAUACUGUUAUGUUAUAAACUCUAUAUUUUUGCUGAUUGUGAAAUAUAUAGACAUUUGCAUUCAAGUGGUAUGGAGAUAUGUUUUCAACAUAGAAGAUCGUUUCAUUUUUAGAGACGUGACUUAUUUUUCUGAACAAGCUAUGCAGUUCAGUGCCUCGAUUAAUAUAAAAGAAAAAAAAAAAUGUCCUUAUGUGAAUCAACAUCAGUGUUUAUCUAGAAGCUACUAAGGAGUGUGUCAUUGCAUUUUCAUUAUUUGACUGUUUGCCUUGACCUCAGUGUUAACCUUGGAACUUGGCCCUGAAACAUUAUUUACUAAAGAGAAUAAAAUUCUGUGUGAAGGCCUGCUACUCUUUGCUUGUUUUCACAAUCCUGUAGAGUCUUCCAUUCUUUCUUUAUCGACUGCAUGUAGAGUGUAUUGUGUGGAGCACAUAUAUAAACACACACAUGCAUAUACACACGUGUUUGUGUCUGUGUGCGUAUUAUAUAUAUAAAUAAACAGAAAUUCUAAUAGUACAUGA
rnacentral:lncRNA from 1 species